rnacentral:rRNA from 1 species
UGGGGAAUUUUGGACAAUGGGCGAAAGCCUGAUCCAGCAAUGCCGCGUGUGUGAAGAAGGCCUUCGGGUUGUAAAGCACUUUUGUCCGGAAAGAAAUCCUUGGCUCUAAUACAGUCGGGGGAUGACGGUACCGGAAGAAUAAGCACCGGCUAACUACGUGCCAGAGCCGCGGUAAUACGUAGGGUGCAAGCGUUAAUCGGAAUUACUGGGCGUAAAGCGUGCGCAGGCGGUUUGCUAAGACCGAUGUGAAAUCCCCGGGCNCAACCUGGGAACUGCAUUGGUGACUGGCAGGCUAGAGUAUGGCAGAGGGGGGUAGAAUUCCACGUGUAGCAGUGAAAUGCGUAGAGAUGUGGAGGAAUACCGAUGGCGAA